UCCAAUCCCUACCCCGUUGCGCUCCUCUUGUCUACACCUUUGGAAGACAAGCCAUCUGUAGGGGCGCACAGGGAUACUGCGUUUAGCCUCCGCGACACCGGACCUCUAGGGCGCACAAACAGAUACAACGAUUACCCCCCGAGCACUGUUCCUCUUUCAAUCAACGCUCAUUCGGCCUCCAGUGCCCGGAGCUUCGAGGCCAUCGAAGCGCCCCGCCUCGGCGUCCCGGGGCCGCUGCUGGGGGCCCCUAGCGCGGCCGCCUGGGGCUGCGGUCGGCGCGGGCCUCCCCGCGGGGCUCCGGCCGCCAGGGGGCGCUGCGGCCCCCUCUCCCGGGAGCGGCCGAGCCCGCCCGGUGGGUGUUUCUCUCCCUCUCGCGCUCUCUCCUCCCGGCCUCACAUCCGGGUCUGGAGCGCGGCGGCCGCUGUCAGUGUCGGUGCGGGCGCGUCGGGGGCCGGGCCGGGCGCAGUAAAUGGCGGCGGAGGGAGGCGGAGCGGCGGCCACGCUCCGCUCACAGCCCCCGAAACUUUAGCCGCGAAGCCCCACAACUUUCCGGGAAGCGCCGGCGCUCCGGGGGCGUGGACGGAAGGGGAAGCCGAGGCGGGGAGUCUGGGGGGAAGCGGCGCGGAGCCGGGGAGCCUCGAACCCGCGGCGGGGGCGGGGGCGGUGGCGGAGUCCGCCCGAGCCUCGCGCCGCCGCGGCCCCCGCCUCCUCCUCCCCCGCGCCCUCCCCUCGGCCGCGGAGCCGGAGCCCGAGCCGCAGCCGCAGCCGGAGCCGGAGCCCGAGCCGGAGCCCGAGCCCGAGCCCGAGCCGCGCGCCGAGCCGAGCCCGGGACCGCGCGGGGCCUCGCGGGCGGCGGCGCGCCGAGCGACCUCCGGGCCCUGUUGCUCGCGCGCCCCCCGCGCGCCGGAGGCCGGGGCUCCGCGCGGCUCCGCGGGGCGAGGAGGAAGCCGGGGCGCGCGCGGCCCCCGCCGUCCCGGGGUCGUGGGGCCGGGCCCCGGGUCUUGCAUGCGGGGCGGGGCGGGGCGGCCGUGA
rnacentral:lncRNA from 1 species